rnacentral:tRNA from 1 species
GCGCCCGUAGCUCAGCUGGAUAGAGCGUUGGCCUCCGGAGCCAAAGGUCAGAGGUUCAAAUCCCCUCGGGCGCGCCA